rfam:Helianthus annuus linkage group 16, whole genome shotgun sequence.
GCCAAUGAUGACAGUUUAUAAAAUGGUUGACUAAAAAGCUUUUAAACUUGUAAAGUUAUUGAAAAUGAAGAACUAGGGCGGUCUGAGGC